rnacentral:lncRNA from 1 species
AUUACAGAUCAUAUGCUAGAUAUGAUGGACCAAGUAAUUAUACUAAGCGAGAUAGAAUACAUGCAGAGAGGAGAGAUCCUAGAUUUCAUGGUCAAAUGCAUCCACCUCAUAGUGGGACUUUUUCUUACAAUGUGCCAUCUGUGUAUUCAAGCCAUAGUAACUUUAAUUAUGGUGCAUCAGUUCCAGGACAAAUUCCUCCUUCAGUAACACAGCCUCCACCAUUAGUUGGUGAACAUAGUCCAAUGGGACCAUAUAGUUCUUAUCAAGGUCAUGGUGAUUCAUGGAGAAGAAAAGAAGGGUUCCGAACGCCAAGUGUAUAUGAAAGACUUGAAAGUGGUCAGGGAGAUUAUAAGCAAAAACACUGAUCUUAACUUUCUACAGUUUUGUGUGAAUAUGAUGCUUAUUUCUUUCAGACAUCAUCAAUUUAUUGAUGGUCAAAAGAUCUGAGCUGGAUAAGAAACAGGGUACACAGACACUUUUUUUAAGCAGUGUGGACAAAUUAAGCUGUUUCUUCCAGUUUCAUCUAUUUAACUGGAUGAAGGUGGUUUACAAAAUGGUGGACGAGGAUUCCUUUAAUCAUUCCCAGAGUGUACUUCAGCCAUCAAUGUUAUUGAUUUUGAAUUGCACUAAUGUUUAUAAAUGUGGACUAUGAAGAUGAAAAUCACGUGAUAUGAUUUCACAAUUGUAAACAAAACAGUUUAUUACAAAAUAAUCAUUAAAAUAAUGUUUCCAAAUUCCAUUACACUUCUGAUUUGAAAGAAGAAAUUAUGUCUCUGAUGUACUAUUUCAUUAUAAUUUCACUGAAAUUAGGGAAAAAAUUAUUUUAUUACUAUUUGCAUAAUAUUAUGUUUAAUGUGAACAUAGCUUCGGCUUUCCUUGUAACUCCAAAUUAUAGCUCAAAUUAUCUUAUUUAAUUCCUAAAUAUUUUCCCCAAACUUGAUUCUUUGUAGUUAAAAUUCAUCCAGAACAUUAUAUUUGUUCAGGUUCCUAUCACAAUGUGCAUGAAAUACAU